AUUGUUGUGUUCAAUUGACAGUUGGUUUCGCGGUAUAAUAAAAAGUAUCAGACUGAAUUUUGCUAUUGUGUUGACGUUUACACUUUUAGCUGAUUAAUUUAUAUUAAAACAUGAAACGCUGCUGUAUCCAACGUUUCGUUUAGAUUUUAGAAGGGUGUGCCAAGAUGACAUCAAAUUUGUGCACGGAUGAUCUGGUCGUGCAAAUCACUGCACCACAAGUUAUAUCGGAGUCAAUGAGGAAGUAUCACAGCUAAGAUUGAUUAAUCUGCCAAAGUCAGCAUACGAAUUGUACUGUGCAGGCGGAGAUGGCGGGGGGCGCGGG